rnacentral:rRNA from 1 species
GGAAUUUUGGGCAAUGGGCGAAAGCCUGACCCAGCAACGCCGCGUGAAGGACGAAAUCCCUCUGGGAUGUAAACUUCGAAAGACGGGAAAGAAAUCCCUGGGGUUAAUACCCCCGGGGGAUGACGGGACCCGACGUAAUCCCCGGCUAACUACGUGCCAGCAGCCGCGGUAAUACGUAGGGGGCAAGCGUUGUUCGGAAUUACUGGGCGUAAAGGGCGCGUAGGCGGCAUGGCAAGUCAGGAGUGAAAGCCCGGGGCUCAACCCCGGAACUGCUUUUGAAACUGCCGAGCUCGAGUGCGGAAGAGGCAACUGGAAUUCCCAGUGUAGCGGUGAAAUGCGUAGAUAUUGGGAAGAACACCGGAGGCGAAGGCGGGUUGCUGGGCCGACACUGACGCUGAGGCGCGAAAGCCAGGGGAGCAAAC